rfam:Rhizobiales bacterium 64-17 SCNpilot_cont_500_bf_scaffold_256, whole genome shotgun sequence.
UAUCGUUGCCCUCCUUGGGCGUUUCCUCCCUAGACUUGGGCCGCUUGCUUUCGCAGGCGGCCCUUUUUUCUUGUCGGU